rnacentral:rRNA from 1 species
AGGUAACGGCUCACCAAGGCUAAGACGGGUAGCUGGUCUGAGAGGACGACCAGCCACACUGGAACUGAGACACGGUCCAGACACCUACGGGUGGCAGCAGUCGAGAAUUUUUCUCAAUGGGCGAAAGCCUGAAGGAGCGACGCCGCGUGGGGGAUGAAGGGCUUCGGCCCGUAAACCCCUGUCAGUUGCGAACAAACCUUACGGUUUAAUACACCGUGAGUUGAUAGUAGCGGAAGAGGAAGGGACGGCUAACUCUGUGCCAGCAGCCGCGGUAAUACAGAGGUCCCAAGCGUUGUUCGGAUUCACUGGGCGUAAAGGGUGCGUAGGUGGCAGGGUAAGUUUGAUGUGAAAUCUCCGGGCUUAACCCGGAAACUGCAUUGAAUACUCUCCUGCUCGAGGGUUGGAGGGGGGACUGGAAUUCUCGGUGUAGCAGUGAAAUGCGUAGAUAUCGAGAGGAACACCAGUGGCGAAGGCGAGUCCCUGGACAACUCCUGACACUGAGGCACGAGAGCUAGGGGAGCAAACAGGAUUAGAUACCCUGGUAGUCCUAGCCGUAAACGGUGCGUAUUUGCUGUAAAAGGAUUCGACCCCUUUUGUGGCGUAGCCAACGCGUUAAAUACGCCGCCUGGGAAGUACGGUCGCAAGAUUAAA